GUAGGUGAACCUGCGGAAGGAUCAUUAUUAUUUGGAUCGAAAUUUACUUCUAGUAUUGGUCACGACUAUUUUGGAGUAAAUUUUUUACCAAAUAGUUUUAACAUUUACUUCCUAUAUUUUUAUAUAGGAGCAAGAUGAACAAAAAUAUUUAAAACCCCACCCUUAAAUAUCUAUACGUAUUUUAAAUCGAUAAAUUAAAAGAUCACUUUCAACAACGGAUCUCUUGGUUCUCGCAUCGAUGAAGAACGCA
rnacentral:misc_RNA from 1 species